GCUUAACAUUUUCAUAUUUCACCCAAUUACUCUUCCCCCCAAAACUAGGGCUAUUCCAGUGCCUCCCAUCUCAGACUACACUUCACAUUUUGCAAAGCUAGGAUUACUCCUGUCUCAGACCACCGUCCACCGUCGACCAUCUAUUGUCGUUUAUUUCUCUCCACCACCGUUUGUUUGUUGGCUUCCUUGCUGUGACGCUUGCCCCUCGACACACUCGACCCUCACUUGUUUGUUGUUGUCCAAAAUAUCAGUAUCAAUUUCACGAUUUGGAACCCUAGCACUUGUACCAGCGGCUCGCAUCUCGACAUGUACCAGUGCCUCCUACUCAGAGCACAUACCUUGGUCUAUCGUUUGUCUUCUGGCCAAAACAUCAGUUAUUGAGUUUAUAAUACUUUUGUAUGGUUACCAUUCUUUACAAACACAUCGAGUAGCGCAUGCAUUGUGGAACCAAGGACGCAAUGUGUUGGCUCUUGCACUACAAAGUCGAGUUAGCGAGGUAUUUGGAGUCGAUAUACAUCCAGGUAUUGUUUCAAAAAUGAUUUCCUAACAUAAAUACUAUAUUUUUAUUGGAUUUUACCAAUAACUGUUUCUCUUUUGUGUUCACAACUGCCAAAAUCGGGGAGGGGAUAUUAUUGGAUCAUGGAACGGGCUUGGUUAUUGGAAAAACUGCCGUUAAUUGGGGAUAGAGUUUCACUAAUGCAGGCUCAAGUUAUGCGAACCCGAAUGGUUGAUUUUGAAGCUCGGGUUGAAGAAGAAAGGAAUCUACUUGCAUCUCGUCUUGAAGAAGAAAAGAAUCUACUUGCAACUCGUCUUGACGAAGAAAGGAAGCAAGGGAAGAACUUCAAAAACAACUUCAAGAAUUUACGAUAAAUUGGCUUGCUCCCUCUAGUUAGUUGUAGUUUUUUUAUAUCUUUUUUGAAUUACGUUGAAUUGUAUUAGCUUACGGUUUAAACAUAUUGGAUCUUGCGUUGUGACGCAUGAUUUUUGAAUUUAUGUCAUAACUUUGGUGAAUUUUGUAAAACAGGUUUUUGGUA